GGCUGGUCCAAUGGUAGUAGGUUAUCAGAACUUAUUAACAUUAAUGUCACUAAAGUUGGUAUUCAACCCCCCACUGCUAAAUUUUUUGACUAGCUUUAA
rnacentral:Y_RNA from 1 species